UGGAAGACUAGUGAUUUUGUUGUUGUGUCUCUGUAUCCAACAACAAGUCCCAGUCUGCCACA
rnacentral:pre_miRNA from 1 species